rnacentral:miRNA from 1 species
UGAGGCAGGAGAAUUGCUUGAACCCAGGAAGUGGAGGCUGCAGUGAGCUGAGAUGGCGCCACUGCACUCCAGCCUGGGUGACACAGCGAG